rnacentral:rRNA from 1 species
GACGAACGCUGGCGGCGUGCUUAACACAUGCAAGUCGAACGGAAAGGCCCUGCUUUUGUGGGGUGCUCGAGUGGCGAACGGGUGAGUAACACGUGAGUAACCUGCCCUUGACUUUGGGAUAACUUCAGGAAACUGGGGCUCAUACCGGAUAGGAGCUCCUGCUGCAUGGUGGGGGUUGGAAAGUUUCGGCGGUUGGGGAUGGACUCGCGGCUUAUCAGCUUGUUGGUGGGGUAGUGGCUUACCAAGGCUUUGACGGGUAGCCGGCAUGAGAGGGUGACCGGCCACAUUGGGACUGAGGUACGGCGCAGACUCCUACGGGAGGCAGCAGUGGGGAAUAUUGCACAAUGGGCGGAAGCCUGAUGCAGCAACGCCGCGUGCGGGAUGACGGCCUUCGGGUUGUAAACCGCUUUCGCCUGUGACGAAGCGUGAGUGACGGUAAUGGGUAAAGAAGCACCGGCUAACUACGUG